CAGUGGCGAACGGGUGAGUAACACGUGGGCAAUCUGCCCUGCACUCUGGGACAAGCCUUGGAAACGAGGUCUAAUACCGGAUAUUACCCUGGACCGCAUGGUCNUGGGUGGAAAGCUCCGGCGGUGCAGGAUGAGCCCGCGGCCUAUCAGCUUGUUGGUGGGGUGAUGGCCUACCAAGGCGACGACGGGUAGCCGGCCUGAGAGGGCGACCGGCCACACUGGGACUGAGACACGGCCCAGACUCCUACGGGAGGCAGCAGUGGGGAAUAUUGCACAAUGGGCGCAAGCCUGAUGCAGCGACGCCGCGUGAGGGAUGAAGGCCUUCGGGUUGUAAACCUCUUUCAGCAGGGAAGAAGCGCAAGUGACGGUACCUGCAGAAGAAGCACCGGCUAACUACGUGCCAGCAGCCGCGGUAAUACGUAGGGUGCGAGCGUUGUCCGGAAUUAUUGGGCGUAAAGAGCUCGUAGGCGGCUUGUCGCGUCGGAUGUGAAAGCCCGGGGCUUAACCCCGGGUCUGCAUUCGAUACGGGCAGGCUGGAGUGUGGUAGGGGAGAUCGGAAUUCCU
rnacentral:rRNA from 1 species